GAGGCUGGACUCCCUCGGGGGAGAUCACCGCAGUGCAGGUGUGUGUCUGUGUGUCUGAGUCAGGGGGCCUCUCUGGAGCUGCUGUUGCUGCCACACUUAGGCUGGGGUGGAGAACCGAGACCAAAGAGUCACAUAGCACCAAGAAGCAGAGGGAUAACUGGUGAAACGGUUGCCUAGCUGAAAGUCCUGAGGGAAAUUUCCAGAGAGGGUUUUGUGGUCUCAGCUGUGAAGCAUCAGCAAGAACAACAAUGUUUUUUCGCAUCCCUCGACUGACCCCUGGAUAUCUUAGAUACCUCCAGACCCAGGCAGCCCAGACUAUGGUGCAGAGCCAUGAGGCACCUGCCACACCACGAAUGGCCAUCCUGCUGGGUUUCAUGGGUAUUGGCAUCUCUGGCUACAGCUCACGCCAGCUCACACUGCACUACAAACCCUCAAGCCACCUCUUCAGAUGAGAUGGAGGACGCACAGACUUUCUUUUCUUUUUUUUGGGAAAUAAGCUUAUUAAAACUGGACCCCAGCAAGUUUGUUUUUUUGUAGUUUGAGACACUGUCUGUCACACAAAGCCCCACAAAACUGCAAAUUCAUAAUGAGGUUUAAUGGUGUUGGUGAAUUUUGCUUCCAAUCUCUGCUGCUGACUCAAGAUUCAAACUAAGCAGAACAUUUAGAAAAUGAGAGAAUAUCAGUCUUUAACUCAUCACCAGAUGUAAAUAAGAAUAUUUCCCAAAAUAUGAAACUACUGAUUGAAGUGAUGUUACCACAUUGUAUGUUUCUGUUUUAUAUUUUUUCCUCUGUGCAUCCCUACUAAUUAUCCCCUUCAUGUGGUUCAAAUUCAAUAUCAUCUGUGUUGUUAAUUUAUUAUAAUUUUGUGGUAUUUGAGUUGACAAGAGUUGCUUUAAGUUGCCUUAAGGCUCAGUUAGUGCAGUUAAAAAGCAGGGGAAAAAAAAACAACUCACUUUUUAAAACUCCCUCUCAAUUCAAACACGGUGCAUUCAUUUUUUAACCUGUAUGCAGUAAAACAGAAAGGCAACUCCUAAUGUUUCUGCUGGACGUGGUUGAUGUUGUACUUGAGCCACAGUCCCAGCCCAUGUUUGGUGCCUUAUUGUGGGAGUACUCAAUCAGAGCUGGCCUUCCAAAAAGAUUCACAGGCUAAAGCACUUAGCAAAAUGCAUCAGCAGUCUUCAAAGACACUAAAUACAGCUUAGCCAAGCCUGAAGAAAUCUCUUCCAAAAUCCUCAGUCUUUUAAUCAUUCCUUACUUUAUCUCUGACAUUUUGACAAACUCCAUGAUGUAACACAGAGAUCCCGGCUUCCUCGUCUUUCGGGGGAAAGCCAGCACUAGGAUGUCUUAGCCUCUUUACUCUUCUUGGAUUUCUUGUGUAACAUAAAGAGAAACAAAUUUAACUCUCAGGGAGUUGUCAGCGUGGGGAUUCUGAGAUCUCUUUCCGCUGCGUUAAAAUGCCAGAGAAGUGACUACUCACAGUCAGCUCUUCAGAAAAGCACAAAGAAAAAUGCUUUAACAGAAACAUAAGAAAUGUGCAGCCUUUGAGAUGUGAGCAAUGCUGCUUUGCACUUUUUUUGUGUGUGUGUACGUACCUUGUGUAUAAUCAUGCACAUAUCACUUAGAUGCUGAAUGAGAUUAGUAGCUCAUGACAUGGAGUGCUACCAGCCUGUGAUGUGAGCUGGACUGGGGGACAUCUGACUGGAUUGACACUCAGCAUUGCUGCGUUGGUGUCAGGCAGAGGGACCAGGACAGCCACCCUGGAUACCACCUGGACCAACAUGUAAAUCCACCCGGAUCUCUCCUAUUAGCAUCCCACUGUCAAACAGGCUGAAUGUAGAUGAAUGACCACUAAGGUCUCUUAACUUAUGUAAAAUAUGUAGACUAUUUGUGUGCGUGUGUGGGAGGGUAUGUGUGUUUAUCUAUUGUGCACAAUAUAUUUGAAUGGAAAAAAUAACUUUGACAGCAUAUGAAUGUAUCGCCGACCGGGACUAAAACUGAGCAGUUAAACUGUAACUGUGAAGACGACUGUGUCAUAAUGUCUCGGCUAAUUAGAGGUUAUGACUACAGUUUGAAGGCAGAUUAGCAUGUAAACAGGCCACAGAGGAAGUGCAGUUAUACUGCAAUCCUUCACAGAGCUUCUUACUAUAUGUCUUUUUUUAGGUGAGCUUAUACUUAAAGGUGAGACGCUUCAGAAACAGAGAGAUAGAUGAGCGUGACGGUGCAAGAAGUGUGUUUAUUUAUGUCCUUUAACUUUGUGGCAGGGAUUCAAAUGGGUCAUUGCAAUGUGAUUUUAAAUAAUAUUGUGCUGUUGUUAUCCUUCAUCAUUGCUGAAGCUUUCCUUGUUUAGCUCGUUUGCUGCUUGGUGUUUGUGUUUGUGGAGUAACAAUGUAAAAUGUAUGUCUCGAGUACCACUGAUUAUCUGAGUUUGUAAUGAGAAUUGUGUAUAUUUAACCCAAUCACUUGCAUGUUAAUACAGAUGACCGGGAAUAUAAUUAUGCUGUGUUUUAAUUAUUGAAUUAAUUUAAGUCAUUUUGAUCUUACAAAAGGCCAGUGGAGAUUGUUUGUAUGGCUAUAUAUAUACAUAUAUGACACUAGAUUACUUCUGUGUUAUUAAAUUUGGGAAUUUGUAUUGUUUACAUGUAAUAAAAUUCUUUAUGUUUUACCUGAAGCAUUCUUAAUGCACAACUAAGCACCUUUGAAAAUGCGUUAUUUUGUAUUGUUCAGUGAGAAUGUGUCCGCUAUUAAAUCAGUAGAACUCCA